AGCGAACGCUGGCGGCAGGCUUAACACAUGCAAGUCGAGCGCCCGUAGCAAUACGGGAGCGGCAGACGGGUGAGUAACACGUGGGAACGUGCCUUUUGGUUCGGAACAACUGAGGGAAACUUCAGCUAAUACCGGAUAAGCCCUUACGGGGAAAGAUUUAUCGCCAAAAGAUCGGCCCGCGUCUGAUUAGCUAGUUGGUGGGGUAAUGGCCCACCAAGGCUACGAUCAGUAGCUGGUCUGAGAGGAUGAUCAGCCACACCUGGGACUGAGACACGGCCCAGACUCCUACGGGAGGCAGCAGUGGGGAAGUCUUGGACAAUGGGCGCAAGCCUGAUCCAGCCAUGCCGCGUGAGUGAUGAAGGCC
rnacentral:rRNA from 1 species